GAAUCUGGAAAGUAGCGAUGCGCUCACCGAAGGAGUAAGGGAUUUAUCCUGAAUCUCUCAGGUCAAUGACAGA
rnacentral:ncRNA from 1 species